rnacentral:rRNA from 1 species
CCCGACUGCUAUCGGAUUGAGAUUUAGCCAUGCGAGUCGAACGUCCCCCUGUUGCGGGGGGCGUGGCGUACGGCUCAGUAACACGUAGUCAACCUGCCCUGGAGACAUGGACAACCCCGGGAAACUGGGAUUAAUCCGUGAUAGGUCACCUCAUCUGGAAGGAGAGAUGGCUUAAAGGGGUGCGCGGGCUUCUUCUGCGUAUUCGCUCCAGGAUGGGACUGCGUCCGAUCAGGCUGUUGGCGGGGUAAUGGCCCACCAAACCUGUAACCGGUACGGGCCUUGAGAGAGGUGGCCCGGAGAUGGACACUGAGAGAAGGGUCCAGGUCCUACGGGGCGCAGCAGGCGCGAAACCUUCGCAAUGCGCGAAAGCGUGACGAGGUUAAUCCGAGUGACUUCCGCUGAGGAGGUCUUUUGUCAGCUGUAAAUAGGCAGACGAAUAAGGGGAGGGCAAGCCUGGUGU